GGCUCGGUAGUGAAACGGCUAUCACGCUUCGCUCAUAACGAAGUAUUUCGGGUUCGAGUCCCGGCUGAGCUAC
rnacentral:tRNA from 3 species